rnacentral:rRNA from 1 species
UACGGAGGGUGCAAACGUUGCUCGGAAUCAUUGGGCGUAAAGCGCACGUAGGCGGUCCGUUAUGUCGGGUGUGAAAGCCCUCGGCUUAACCGAGGAAGUGCAUUCGAAACUGGCGGACUUGAGUACCGGAGAGGGUCGCGGAAUUCCCGGUGUAGAGGUGAAAUUCGUAGAUAUCGGGAGGAACACCGGUGGCGAAGGCGGCGACCUGGGUCGAUACUGACGCUGAGGUGCGAAAGCGUGGGGAGCAAACAGG